rnacentral:ncRNA from 1 species
CGAAAAUAGAGUGGCAGGUUGGUAGCUCCUGCACCCACAUUUGGGUUCUUCUCAGCCGCGG